rnacentral:rRNA from 1 species
UACAGAGGGUGCGAGCGUUAAUCGGAAUGACUGGGCGUAAAGGGUGUGUAGGUGGUUUAAUAAGCCAGAUGUGAAAUCCCCGGGCUCAACCUGGGAAUGGCAUUUGGGACUGCAAGGCUUGAGUGCGGCAGAGGAGACUGGAAUCCCUGGUGUAGCAGUGAAAUGCGUAGAUAUCAGGAGGAAUACCGAUGGCGAAGGCAGGUCUCUGGGCUGACACUGACGCUCAUGCACGAAAGCGUGGGGAGCAAACAGG